rnacentral:lncRNA from 1 species
GGAGGAGAGCUCGGGCGAGGUCACUGACUCACGGUGGAGCUCGCUGAGGAAGAAAGCGGAGAGAAGAGAGGGCGUUGGAGAGGAAAUGGAGGUCUGCUGCCGCUCGGGGGGUGUCGUGGCAUCCAAGAGGGCGUGUUGGGGCUGACAAGCGGGGUCGCCAUCUAUGUACGGCUGCCACGGGGCUUCCACGCGUCGGUCGGCCGGCGACUGACGAAACUGAAUCGGUUGAUUUCAGUUGCCAUUGACAGUGACUGAAACCGUAACUUGAUCG